rnacentral:lncRNA from 1 species
AAAAAAGGUGUCAGCCUUCUAUUUUAAUUGUUGUUCCAUGAAUAACUUGAUUGCAUAAUUGAUUGAAUAAGUUUUGUCUAUUUGUGCACUUGUAAAAUUUGGAGAUUUUUAAAUUCUUUUAAGACAUCUGUUAAGUGUGAUUUCCUAGCUGUAUAUUUACUGUCCUUUUCUUCAAAUUUGUGAACUAUUCUAAUCCUUUUGAUGUACUAAUAAUGGUCAAUUUUUAUCAAGUGAUAAAGUCAGAAAUGCAUAUAAGCCAAAGUCAUUUAGAAUAUAUCCAUUCAGAAAUUACCACACUGGGGCGAUCAUGAUAAGAUAGACAAGUCUAGUAUCAACAUCUAGGACUUGACCAUUAAAUUUUCUUGCGUUAAAGCAAAGUAGGUAAAGUAACAGGUAACAGUUAUUGAAAGACGUGCAUUCUUUUUAUUUUCAGUACAGGAUCGAAAAUUCCCAGUUUCUACCUCUUUGUGCUGAGUUAAUCCACCUUUUUUGUACAUUUUUUGAAGUUUGUUUUAAUUGACUUUGUCACUGCUUAAUUUUGUAAGAAAUUGUUAUAAAAUGAAUAAAAUGUUGCUGUUUUCAGUUGUGUUUUUCAUUCAAUACCUGAUUAAGAUAACCGUAAUUUUGAUUGUGAGCCCACAACUGUUG